rnacentral:rRNA from 1 species
UACGUAGGGGCCGAGCGUUGUCCGGAGUUAUUGGGCGUAAAGCGCGCGCAGGCGGCUUCGCGCGUCCGACGUGAAAGCCCCCGGCUCAACCGGGGAGGGUCGUCGGGGACCGCACCGCUUGAGGGCGGUAGGGGCUGGUGGAAUGCCUGGUGUAGUGGUGAAAUGCGUAGAGAUCAGGCGGAACACCCGUGGCGAAGGCGGCCAGCUGGGCCGUCCCUGACGCUGAGGCGCGAAGGCGUGGGGAGCGAACGGG